UACGUAGGGGGCAAGCGUUGUCCGGAAUCAUUGGGCGUAAAGCGCGUGUAGGCGGCCCGAUAAGUCCGCUGUGAAAGUCCAGGGCUCAACCCUGGGAUGCCGGUGGAUACUGUCGGGCUCGAGUCCGGAAGAGGCGAGUGGAAUUCCUGGUGUAGCGGUGAAAUGCGCAGAUAUCAGGAGGAACACCAAUGGCGAAGGCGGCUCUCUGGAACGCAACUGACGCUGAGACGCGAAAGCGUGGGGAGCAAACAGG
rnacentral:rRNA from 1 species